rfam:Schistosoma rodhaini strain Burundi genome assembly, scaffold: SROB_scaffold0000749
AUCCAGUUGACGAGUCCCAAAUAGGAUGAGAAGCGUGUCCUGGAU